rnacentral:rRNA from 1 species
GACGAACGCUGGCGGCGUGCUUAACACAUGCAAGUCGAACGGAAAGGCCCUGCUUUUGUGGGGUGCUCGAGUGGCGAACGGGUGAGUAACACGUGAGUAACCUGCCCUUGACUUUGGGAUAACUUCAGGAAACUGGGGCUAAUACUGGAUAGGAGCUCCUGCUGCAUGGUGGGGGUUGGAAAGUUUCGGCGGUUGGGGAUGGACUCGCGGCUUAUCAGCUUGUUGGUGGGGUAGUGGCUUACCAAGGCUUUGACGGGUAGCCGGCCUGAGAGGGUGACCGGCCACAUUGGGACUGAGAUACGGCCCAGACUCCUACGGGAGGCAGCAGUGGGGAAUAUUGCACAAUGGGCGGAAGCCUGAUGCAGCAACGCCGCGUGCGGGAUGACGGCCCUCGGGUUGUAAACCGCUUUCGCCUGUGACGAAGCGUGAGUGACGGUAAUGGGUAAAGAAGCACCGGCUAACUACGUG